AAUCUUGUUUUUUCAUUGAAUAAAUAAAAUGCGUUUAGGUUAUGAUCGAUAUCUAUGUUUGUGUAUGUGUAUAUGAGUCAUAUUUUUCCCUCUCAAUUAUAUAUGAAAACAAAACAAAACAAAACAAAUCAUUCAUAAUGAAAUUAAAAGUUUGUAAUUGUAGGUUUUUUUUUACCUUUAUUGACAAUUUUGAAAAUGAAUAAAUGAAUCCUUUCAAUAUAAAAUCACAUCCGCUAUAGAAUAGUGUGUGUUCCAUAACAACCAACAAAUGUUUUGAAUCAAAAACUAUCGGUUGUCAAACAAAAGUAGAGAAAAAACAAUAUAUAGCUAGUGAUGAUGGUAAGCUACCUUGAUUUGGAAAUAAUAUUUAUUUUUAUCUAAUAUCGCCAUCUUGUUGAAAAAAUGAUGAAAAAAUUGUUUAAAUUUAAAGAUCAUCGAUUCAAGAAUAUCCUAAUAAUAUAAAAUUAAAAGUCCUAGUUGGUUAUACCGUAUGAAGAUGGCGCCCAUUUGUUAUUUGUGGCCGAAAUGCAAAACAAAUCGAACAAAAAUUAAAGUCCAACUAUAUGUUUAUGAAAAAGUGUGUACAAUUAUGAAAAACCAAUUUCAAUAAAUGAAUUGAAAUUUUUUUUUUAUCAUCAUCAGCAAGCUCCAAUGAUGAUAAUUAGAAUGAAUGAAAACAUGUUCAAACAAGGUCACCAACUUUUCUUUUCUUUCAUUUUGCUCAAAUCUUUUUGCUAUUCUUGCCAUAUUCUACCUUUACAUUUCUGGUGAUCAUUUUUUCGUCUGAUUAUUAGCUGCUGGUUGUUGUUGUUGUUGUUGUUGCUAUACACGAUAUAUCAUCCCGUAAGAAAAAAAAUACAAGAAUAUAUUUUGCAUUUCAUAGAAUGAAGAACAGCAGCUGCAUUGAUGAAUCUAACAAAAAAGAACAACAAUAAAAUCUUCAUCAAUCAACACGAAUAAUGUAU